CCUACGGGUGGCAGCAGUGGGGAAUAUUGCACAAUGGGCGAAACCCUGAAGCAGCGACGCCGCGUGAGUGAAGAAGUAUCUCGGUACGUAAAGCUCUAUCAGCAGGGAAGAAAAUGACGGUACCUGACUACGUAGCCCCGUCUAACUACGUGCCAGCAGCCGCGGUAAUAAGCAGGGGGCAAGCGUUAUCCGGAUUUACUGGGUGUAAAGGGAGCGUAGACGGGAGCACAAGUCUGGAGUGAAAUGCCGGGGCUUAACCCCGGAACUGCUUUUGAUACUGGGCGGCUUGAGUGCAGGAGGGGUAAGCGGAAUUCGUGGUGUAGCGGUGAAAUGCGUAGAUAUUAGGAGGAACACCGGUGGCGAAGGCGGCUUACUGGAGUGUAACUGACGUUGAGGCUCGAAAGCGUGGGGAGCAAACAGGAUUAGAUACCCUAGUAGUC
rnacentral:rRNA from 1 species